GACGUAGGGCGCGAGCGUUGUCCGGAUUUAUUGGGCGUAAAGAGCUCGUAGGCGGUCUGUCGCGUCGGGAGUGAAAACUCAGGGCUUAACCCUGAGCCUGCUUCCGAUACGGGCAGACUAGAGGUAUGCAGGGGAGAACGGAAUUCCUGGUGUAGCGGUGGAAUGCGCAGAUAUCAGGAGGAACACCGGUGGCGAAGGCGGUUCUCUGGGCAUUACCUGACGCCGAGGAGCGAAAGUGUGGGGAGCGAUCCGG
rnacentral:rRNA from 1 species